rnacentral:RNase_P_RNA from 1 species
CCCGCAGGCCGUCUUAUCGCCGUUGUGUUUACACGAGGGAGGAAAGUCCGGACACCAUAGGGUAGCAUAGCGGGUAAUGCCCGUCAUUCUGUUUUAGCUUACUGAAACAGGAGAGGACAAGUGCAACAGAAAGUAUGUACAGGUAAUGCUGUAGUGAAACCAGGUAAACUCUAUGCGGUGAAAUGCCAUGUACACCGGCAAUUAAGGGCUACCCGCCCGAUGCCGGGGGGUAGGCAGAUUGAUCCUUCACAGUAAUGUAAGGACUAGAUAAAUGAUAAGAAACCCCGCUUUAGGGCGGGGUUACAGAAUCCGGCUUACAGGCCUGCUAUUUUU